rnacentral:lncRNA from 1 species
AGCAAUUUCUUCUUUCCUGCCUGCUGAAGACUGACUUCCUCCUGCUGCCAAAGUUCUAGAGUCUGGACGUCUGAGAUCAGGGUGCCAGCACUGUCGAGGUCACAGACUGCAGACCUCCUUGUAUCUUCAAAUGGAGGAAAGAGGACAAGAGAGCUCCUGUGGUCCCUUUUAUCAAGAUGAAUGCACAAGGAAAAUGUUGUACAUUUGCACAUUGGAGUACACUUCAGCCAUAAAAAGAAUGAGAUGCUGUCAUUUGCAACAACAGGCCUGAUAAUAUUGAACAUCCUUGCAUCCAUUAAAGUUUACUGUUCUAAGACUUACUUUAACCAAG